rnacentral:rRNA from 1 species
AGCGAACGCUGGCGGCAGGCCUAAUACAUGCAAGUCGAACGGAUCCUUCGGGAUUAGUGGCGGACGGGUGAGUAACACGUGGGAACGUGCCCUUUGGUUCGGAACAACUCAGGGAAACUUGAGCUAAUACCGGAUGUGCCCUUCGGGGAAGAUUAUCGCCAUUGGAGCGGCCUGCGUCUGAUUAGCUAGUUGGUGGGGUAAAGGCCUACCAAGGCUACGAUCAGUAGCUGGUCUGAGAGGAUGAUCAGCCACACUGGGACUGAGACACGGCCCAGACUCCUACGGGAGGCAGCGGUAGGGAAUCUUGCGCAAUGGGCGAAAGCCUGACGCAGCCAUGCCGCGUGAAUGAUGAAGGUCUUAGGAUU